CGACCCUAGUGGAGUACCCGGUCCCCUGGAGAUGUUGUGCAGGAGGGUCCCCUCUCUAGGGCUGGGGGCUUUAGGGCUGGGGAAGAGGCACCAGGGGCAGAGCCUCUGGACCCCACCUGGAGUCCUGUAGUGAGUGCGUUUCCUCCCCUUCCCAGCGGCCCCUUUUCCAAGAGAGAACUUGCGGAGGGGGGAGGGGGUGGGGGGUGAGGAAGGAGCACUAGGGAGGGAGUCGGCGGGUUUGGGUCCUGGUUCUGUGCUGCGGUCCUGGGCAGGUGUGGUGUGUAACGGGAAAGGGCCUGUCACAAAGCGUGGCAAAUGUGCUCGUGGCAGAUGCCCACGAACGUUUGUCUCCCUGUCCUCUGGCCUCCACCUCCCCUGCAAUUUUCCCAAAGGCAAAAUGAUGGGUUGGACAAACGAUAGGAAAUGUAGCCACGUUCGCUGCGCAUGGGGCAAGGUGGGGGUGGGGGUGGGGUUUCCGGGGCACCAGAUCGCUCUGCUCCCAUCUCAAGGCCCCUGCUUCUGGAGGCAGGGUUAGCUCCACGUAGGCAGAGGAAACACCCCGGGUUUCUUAGGAUUCUUGCUGUGUGACCUUGGGAAGUCCCCGCACGCCUCUGGCUGCAGCUGCCGCCUGUGAAAGAAGGGGCUGCACUUCCUGGAUGGUGGAAGGUUGCUAAGGUAACCACAAAGUGCCCGCUCAGCAGCAGCUGCCGUCAUCAUCAUAGUUAUUAUUAUUAGGGUUUCGUCCUGUGCCAGCAUUUGACAAUUCUAACCCCACCUGGAGGCCUGCUAAGAGAGCAGGCGAGGGCUGGUGAUCAUUUAGGGAUGCCUAAAAUGUUUGCAGGGGGAGCAGGAGAGAGGAAGGACAAAGGAUGUUCAUGAGGGUCAAAGACCUGGGUUUGGGGCUUCUCGGGGCGAGGGGGUGCGGAGGGAGGGCCCCAGAUCGCGCCUUCUCCCUUUAGGUCUGGUCCCGGGGUGGCGGCGCGCGUGCGCAGGAGGAGGCCGUGGGCCCGGCCAGCAGAGGGCGCCGCGAGCACCACGCCCGGGCUUAGCUGUGCGGGGCUCCGCCUUGCUGCGCAGUGGGCAAGCCGGUCUGGCUGCGAUGGGGGAGGGCUACGCUGGGGAGCUGCGGCACGAUCAAGCACCCACAAGUUUCAGCCACUGCUGGGAGUAAAGAGGGGAACGAGGUGCAUGCCCGGAGAACCCGCACCCACCAUCCAGGUGACAGAGGUCAGCCCAGGGCUGGGGGAGCUUGGAGGAGGAGCCGCCUACCUGGAGAGAACAGGCGAGGCAGACAGAAGGCAGGAAGCACAGAGAGCCCGCUCGCAGCUUGGCAAUGUGGGGAGCUGAACAGAGCAAGAACUGUUUGGGGCCAUGCUCUCGAACACUGGCCCAGGGCCGGCGAUGUCGAAGCCAUGAUGAAUCCAAGGCUAAACUACAGCAGACACAACGGCUGUCCCUAAGGGGGUUAUAAUUGCGUGCGUGCGUGCGUGUGUGUGUGUGUGGG
rnacentral:lncRNA from 10 species